rnacentral:rRNA from 1 species
GACGUAGGGCGCGAGCGUUGUCCGGAUUUAUUGGGCGUAAAGAGCUCGUAGGCGGCUUGUCGCGUCGUCCGUGAAAACUUGGGGGCUCAACCCCAAGCUUGCGGUCGAUACGGGCAGGCUCGAGUUCGGUAGGGGAGACUGGAAUUCCUGGUGUAGCGGUGAAAUGCGUAGAUAUCGGGAGGAACACCAGUGGCGAAGGCGACUACCUGGCCUGUUCUUGACACUGAGACGCGAAAGCGUGGGUAGCAAACAGGG